rnacentral:rRNA from 1 species
ACUCCUACGGGAGGCAGCAGUGGGGAAUAUUGCACAAUGGGGAAAGCCCAUCGAUGCAGCCAUGCCCGCGUGUGUGAAGAAGGCCUUCGGGUUGGUAAAGACACUUUUCAGUAGGGAGGAAGGUAGUGUAGUUAACACCUGCAUUAUUUGACGUUACCUACAGAAGAAGCACCGGCUAACUCCGUGCCAGCAGCCGCGGUAAUACGGAGGGUGCGAGCGUUAAUCGGAAUUACUGGGCGUAAAGCGCAUGCAGGCGGCCUGUUAAGUCAGAUGUGAAAGCCCGGGGCUUAACCUCGGAAUUGCAUUUGAAACUGGCAGGCUAGAGUCUUGUAGAGGGGGUG